GAUGAACGCUAGCGGCAGGCCUAACACAUGCAAGUCGAGGGGUAACUAGAGUGAUAGCAAUAUUACUUUGGCUAGACCGGCGCACGGGUGCGUAACACGUAUGCAACCUACCUUAUACUGGGGAAUAACUUCGAGAAAUCGGCGCUAAUACCCCAUAACAUUGCGAAGAGGCAUCUCUUUGCAAUUAAAGCUCCGGCGGUAUAAGAUGGGCAUGCGUCCAAUUAGCUAGUUGGUGAGGUAACGGCUCACCAAGGCUACGAUUGGUAGGGGUUCGGAGAGGAUGAUCCCCCACACUGGUACUGUGACACGGACCAGACUCCUACGGGAGGCAGCAGUGAGGAAUAUUGCGCAAUGGACGAAAGUCUGACGCAGCCAUGCCGCGUGCAGGAUGACGGCCCUAUGGGUUGUAAACUGCUUUUGUACGGGAAUAAACCCUUCUACGUGUAGGAGGCUGAAGGUACCGUAAGAAUAAGCACCGGCUAACUCCGUGCCAGCCGCCGCGGUAACAC
rnacentral:rRNA from 1 species